CCUUGAAAGCCCUGAGGCCCAGGCCGCUGUCCUGCUCUCCUCUCUACUGACUCCCAUCCUCAAUAUACUUUCCAUGAGAGAAAGAGUAAAUUUUUUAAAACCUCAAGAGAGAACACAGAAAACUGUCAUAAUUUUUCAAAGGCUAAAGGAGAAUAAACUGAAAAUAUCAGUUUGAACACGUGUAUGUAAAAAGAAUGGAUGGUAAUAAAACUAACAACUGAAAAGCAAUGUUUCUGACUCAUUCAUUCAUACUCAAGAAAUAUCAAAUAACUGAGUGGAGAUGAUGCAAG
rnacentral:lncRNA from 1 species